ACGCUCGACACCUACGGGAAGCAGCAGUGGGGAAUAUUGCACAAUGGGGGAAACCCUGAUGCAGCGACGCCGCGUGGAGGAAGAAGGUCUUCGGAUUGUAAACUCCUGUUGUUGGGGAAAAAGAGGAUGGUACCCAACAAGGAAGUGACGGCUAACUACGUGCCAGCAGCCGCGGUAAUCUGAGGCGGGCGUGGACGAAGGC
rnacentral:rRNA from 1 species